GAUGAACGCUGGCGGCGUGCUUAACACAUGCAAGUCGAACGAGAAGUGAAGACGGAAACCUUCGGGCGGAAAGCUUUAUUUCGAGUGGCGGACGGGUGAGUAACGCGUGGGUAACCUGCCUCAUACAGGGGGAUAACAGUUGGAAACGACUGUUAAUACCGCAUAAGACCACAGCACCGCAUGGUGCGGGGGUAAAAACUCCGGUGGUAUGAGAUGGACCCGCGUUCGAUUAGCCAGUUGGCGGGGUAACGGCCCACCAAAGCGACGAUCGAUAGCCGAUCUGAGAGGAUGACCGGCCACAUUGGGACUGAGACACGGCCCAAACUCCUACGGGAGGCAGCAGUGGGGAAUAUUGCACAAUGGGGGAAACCCUGAUGCAGCGACGCCGCGUGAGUGAAGAAGUAUUUCGGUAUGUAAAGCUCUAUCAGCAGGGAAGAAAAUGACGGUACCUGAGUAAGAAGCCCCGGCUAACUACGUG
rnacentral:rRNA from 1 species